rnacentral:rRNA from 1 species
GUGAACGCUGGCGGUAGGCCUAACACAUGCAAGUCGAACGGCAGCACAGUAAGAGCUUGCUCUUACGGGUGGCGAGUGGCGGACGGGUGAGGAAUACAUCGGAAUCUACUUUUUCGUGGGGGAUAACGUAGGGAAACUUACGCUAAUACCGCAUACGACCUACGGGUGAAAGCAGGGGAUCUUCGGACCUUGCGCGAUUGAAUGAGCCGAUGUCGGAUUAGCUAGUUGGCGGGGUAAAGGCCCACCAAGGCGACGAUCCGUAGCUGGUCUGAGAGGAUGAUCAGCCACACUGGAACUGAGACACGGUCCAGACUCCUACGGGAGGCAGCAGUGGGGAAUAUUGGACAAUGGGCGCAAGCCUGAUCCAGCCAUACCGCGUGGGUGAAGAAGGCCUUCGGGUUGUAAAGCCCUUUUGUUGGGAAAGAAAAGCAGCAGGUUAAUACCCCGCUGUUCCGACGGUACCCAAAGAAUAAGCACCGGCUAACCUCGUG